rnacentral:rRNA from 1 species
UACGUAGGGGGCAAGCGUUGUCCGGAUUUAUUGGGCGUAAAGAGCGUGUAGGCGGCUUUACAGGUCCGUUGUGAAAACUCGAGGCUCAACCUCGAGACGCCGGCGGAAACCGUAAAGCUAGAGUCCGGAAGAGGCGAGUGGAAUUCCUGGUGUAGCGGUGAAAUGCGCAGAUAUCAGGAGGAACACCGAUUGCGAAGGCAGCUCGCUGGGACGUAACUGACGCUGAGACGCGAAAGCGUGGGGAGCGAACAGG